UACGAAGGGGGCUAGCGUUGCUCGGAAUGACUGGGCGUAAAGGGCGCGUAGGCGGUUCAUACAGUCAGAUGUGAAAUUCCCGGCUUAACCUGGGGCUGCAUUUGAUACGUGUGGGCUUGAGUGAGGAAGAGGGUUGUGGAAUUCCUGGUGUAGCGGUGAAAUGCGCAGAUAUCAGGAGGAACACCGGUGGCGAAGGCGGUUCUCUGGCAUGUCCUGACGCUGAGGAGCGAAAGUGUGGGAGCGAACAGG
rnacentral:rRNA from 1 species